rnacentral:rRNA from 1 species
ACACUCCUACGGGAGGCAGCAGUGAGGAAUAUUGGACAAUGGGUGGAAGCCUGAUCCAGCCAUCCCGCGUGCAGGAAGACGGCCCUAUGGGUUGUAAACUGCUUUUAUCUGGGGAUAAACCUAGUUACGUGUAAGUAGCUGAAGGUACCAGAAGAAUAAGCACCGGCUAACUCCGUGCCAGCAGCCGCGGUAAUACGGAGGGUGCAAGCGUUAUCCGGAUUUAUUGGGUUUAAAGGGUCCGUAGGCGGACUGAUAAGUCAGUGGUGAAAUCCGACAGCUUAACUGUCGAACUGCCAUUGAUACUGUUAGUCUUGAGUAAGGUUGAAGUGGCUGGAAUAAGUAGUGUAGCGGUGAAAUGCAUAGAUAUUACUUAGAACACCAAUUGCGAAGGCAGGUCACUAAGUCUUAACUGACGCUGAUGGACGAAAGCGUGGGGAGCGAACAGGAUUAGAAACCCUAGUAGUCCCAUG